rnacentral:tRNA from 1 species
ACUAUUUUGGCAGAUAAGUGCAAUGGAUUUAGAAUCUUUGAAUAUAGAUUGAAUUUUUCUAUAGAUAGUA